GAAACAGAGGGCAAAACAUAGGCGAUAAAUAAGAAAAUUCCCUUAUUAAUUUGUUAAAAUUGAAGGAAGAAAAAAAUCUUCUUGUUCUGGUUCUAGUAAGGCUUCUUCUGGUUCUGGGUUUCGUGUCCACUUUCAGCUCAUCAUCAAUGGGAAGCUCAAACAACACUGGGCUUACUGAUUCCUCCGACAUCCAAAAGCUGGAAGACGCCGAUUCAUGCCCCUUUUCUAUAGGGGAAAUGGUCAUCGCCUUUCAUGGUCAUUCCUUUUAUGCGGCCAAGGUCUUAAAAAUUGUGGGUUACCUCAACAAUUGGGACUUUUUUGUUCAUUAUCAUGGUUGGAACAAAAAAUGGGAUGAGUGGGUAACUACAGAUCGUUUGAUGGCAUACUCUGAGGAUAAUGUGCGGAACCACCUUGCCAUAAACAAGCAACAAGAAAUAGACAAGAGUAUGAAGUUAGCACGUUCAUCAAAUUUUAAGGAGAAAAAUGCCAAUGUGUUUGUUAGUGGCAAGAAAAGAAAAAAUGAUGAUUGUCUCUUCAGGGGGAACAUUCACAUAACAAUGGAAAUGUGUGCAAAAAUUCAAAUACCACUGAGACUAAAGAAGCAUCUGGUUGAUGAUUGCGAAUUUGUUACUCGUAUGGGAAAGGAUCUUAUGACGAAAGAGACUAUCGGUAAAGGACAUGAAUCUAGAGGCCUCUAUACUCUUGAUACAUCGUCACCCAACUCUAUUGCUUGCUCGAGUGUUCCUUCUCCCUUCGAGGCUCAUUGUUGGUUGGAUCAUCCAUCUCUCCCUUUACUAAAGAAGCUUUGUCCUCAAUAUAUUUCCACAGCAUGUUUUCUCAUUAAUCGAAUGCCAUCCUCUGUUCUUCAAGGUGAGAUACCUUACAAAAGUCUUUGUUUCUUGUUGACCCUAAGAUAUUUGGUAGCACUUGUUUUGUUCGGGAUGUUCGUCCGCAUGUCACUAAAUUAGAUCCCAAGUCUUUGAAAUGUAUUUUUCUUGGUUGUUCCCGUCUUCAGAAAGGCUACCGGUGUUAUUGUCUCAGUCUUAACAAAUAUUUGGUCUUUAUCAAUGUCACUUUCCUCAAAGAUACACCAUAUUUCCCUUCUCUGCCCGUUCCCACUCGUCAGGGGGAGGACGAUGAUUUGUUGGUCUAUUCUAUCACUUCUUCUCCUGACUCGGACCUAUCACCAAUCUUGCAACCUGUUCUUGUGAAGCCUCCUAUUCUUCAAGUUUACUCCAGGCGACAACCUCUUGAUUCAUGUCCUGCACCUGCACCAUCAUCAGAUCCAGACCUGAGCGAUGAUCUUCCAAUUGCAUUACGUAAAGGUAUACGUAAGUGUACUUAUCCUAUUUCUUUUUUUUUUUCUUAUAAUAACUUGUCUUCUUUUUCUUGCUCUUUCAUUGCUUCCUUUGAUUCUAUUUCUAUUCCUAACACUAGUCGUGAAGUCAUAUCUCAUCCUGGUUGGCAUAAUGCAAUGAUAGAGGAGAUGAAUGCGUUGGAUGAUAAUGGUACUUGGGACUUGGUCGAUUUACCUUCAGGGAAACGGGCUAUCCUUUGCAAAUGGGUCUUCAUGGUUAAGGUCAAUCUGAAUGGGUCAGUUGCUCGAUUGAAAGCCCGUCUUAUCAUCAAGGGCUAUGCUCAAACUUAUGGAGUAGAUUAUUCUGAAACUUUCUCUCCUAUUGCAAAGUUGACACCUGUUUGGUUGUUUAUUUCUAUGGCAACUACUCAUUAUUUGCCUUUACAUCAACUUAAUAUCAAUAAUGCUUUUCUUCAUGGUGAUCUCCAGGAGGAGGUGUAUAUGGAGCAACCUCCAGGUUUUGUUGCUCAGGGGAGUCAGGGCGAGUUUGUCGUCUUCGAAAGUCUUUAUAUGGUUUGAAACAAAGUCCUUGUGCUUGGUUUGGAAAGUUUAGUCAGGCUAUUGAGAAAUUUGAUCAGCCAAUUCAGUUCAAGAAAUUAUGAAAGGAUUACAAUGUUACUUUGACAAGGCAUUGCCAUUGAGGCUUCUAUACAAAAGGGAACGUCGGCAAUAUGAGAGAGCAAUGGCAGCAUAUGAC